GAGUUUGAUCGUGGCUCAGAUUGAACGCUGGCGGCAUGCCUUACACAUGCAAGUCAAACGGCAGCACGGGAGCUUGCUCCUGGUGGCGAGUGGCGAACGGGUGAGUAAUGCAUCGGAACGUAUCCUGGAGUGGGGGAUAACGUAGCGAAAGUUACGCUAAUACCGCAUAUUCUGUGAGCAGGAAAGCGGGGGACCUUCGGGCCUCGCGCUCUUGGAGCGGCCGAUGUCGGAUUAGCUAGUUGGUGAGGUAAAGGCUCACCAAGGCGACGAUCCGUAGCAGGUCUGAGAGGAUGAUCUGCCACACUGGAACUGAGACACGGUCCAGACUCCUACGGGAGGCAGCAGUGGGGAAUUUUGGACAAUGGGGGCAACCCUGAUCCAGCCAUGCCGCGUGAGUGAAGAAGGCCU
rnacentral:rRNA from 1 species